GAUGAACGCUGGCGGCGUGCCUAACACAUGCAAGUCGAGCGAACAGACGAGGAGCUUGCUCCUCUGACGUUAGCGGCGGACGGGUGAGUAACACGUGUAUAACCUACCUAUAAGACUGGGAUAACCUCGGGAAACCGGAGCUAAUACCGGAUAAUAUAUUGAACCGCAUGGUUCAAUAGUGAAAUACGGUUUUUCUGUCACUUAUAGAUGCAUCUGGGCCGCAUUAGCUAGUUGGUAAGGUAACGGCUUACCAAGGCAACGAUGCGUAACCGAACUGAGAGGGUGGUCGGCCACACUGGAACUUGGACGCGGUCCAGACUCCUGCGGGACGCAGCAGUAGGGAAUCGUCCGCAAUAGGCGAAAGCCUGACGGAGCGACGCCGCGUGAGUGAUAAAGGUCUUCGGAUCGUAAAACUCUGUUAUUGGGGAAAAACAAAUGUGUAAGGAAAUGUGCACGUCUUGACGGUACCUGGUCAGAAAGCCACGGCUAACUACGUG
rnacentral:rRNA from 1 species